rnacentral:lncRNA from 1 species
CGCACAUCCUCGACCCCAUAUGGAUGGGGCUCUUGUCUUUGGCGCAACUGCUGGGGUGCUCCGAAUCUCCUCGCCACUGCGCUCAGCCUAGAGAUCCCGAACGCUGGAGCCGCUGAGGUAGCAGGGGCGCAACGCACGCCUUCCGGGUUCCCCAGCAGUUCCCGGGCUGCAAAGGGAUUUCGCCAGAUGUUUUCAACUCUCUUUCUAACUGCUGGGGUGUUGGAGACCACUUGCAAACAACCCCACCCCACCGCCCACCUCUCCCCAAUGCGCUCUCCUAACGCAAACCUCAAAUAAACACACACAAUGAGUUACUGGUGUUUCGACUCCACGCUACGCGCUUUGCGCUUUGCAUGCAGCUGUAUCCUUCUUUCCUCUCUCUUCUCGCAUUCUUCUUGU